rnacentral:SRP_RNA from 1 species
CAGCUGGACCCCGGGAGCAGGAAGCCUCCGAAUCUGGUCAGGCCUUGACGGGAGCAGCCAUAAGGUGGCGGCCAGCGUCCCGGGUCAUCUGGCUGUGC